rnacentral:sRNA from 1 species
UAUCGAAGUACCGUUCCGACGCUGACUU